UACGUAGGGCGCAAGCGUUAUCCGGAAUUAUUGGGCGUAAAGAGCUCGUACGCGGUCUGUCGCGUCGGCUGUGAAAUCCCGAGGCUCAACCUCGGGUCUGCAGUCGAUACGGGCAAACUGGAGUGUUGCAGGGGAGACUGGAAUUCCUGGUGUAGCGGUGAAAUGCGCAGAUAUCAGGAGGAACACCGGUGGCGAAGGCGGGUCUCUGGGCAACAACUGACGCUGAGGAGCGAAAGCGUGGGGAGCGAACAGG
rnacentral:rRNA from 1 species